GACGGAGGCGGCAAGCGUUGUCCGGAAUCACUGGGCGUAAAGCGCACGUAGGCGGGACGGUGCGUCGGUGCUGAAAGCGCCAGGCUUAACCUGGCGAGGCGUGCCGAUACGACCGACCUCGAGGCAGACAGAGGGUGGCGGAAUUCCGGGUGUAGUGGUGAAAUGCGUAGAGAUCCGGAGGAACGCCGGUGGCGAAAGCGGCCACCUGGGUCUGACCUGACGCUGAGGUGCGAAAGCGUGGGGAGCAAACCGG
rnacentral:rRNA from 1 species